rnacentral:rRNA from 1 species
UACGUAGGGUGCGAGCGUUGUCCGGAUUUAUUGGGCGUAACGAGCUCGUAGGCGGUUUGUCGCGUCGGCCGUGAAAUCUCCACGCUUAACGUGGAGCGUGCGGUCGAUACGGGCAGACUUGAGUUCGGUAGGGGAGACUGGAAUUCCCGGUGUAGUGGUGGAAUGCGUAGAUAUCGGGAGGAACACCAGUGGCGAAGGCGGUUGCCUGGAGCUUUGCUGACGCUGAUGCGCGAAAGCGUGGGGAGCGAUCCGG